rnacentral:rRNA from 1 species
UACGUAGGGCGCAAGCGUUGUCCGGAAUUAUUGGGCGUAAAGAGCUCGUAGGCGGCUUGUCACGUCGGGGUGUGAAAGCCCGGGGCUUAACCCCGGGUCUGCAUUCGAUACGGGCUAGCUAGAGUGUGGUAGGGGAGAUCGGAAUUCCUGGUGUAGCGGUGAAAUGCGCAGAUAUCAGGAGGAACACCGGUGGCGAAGGCGGGUCUCUGGGCCGAUACUGACGCUGAGGAGCGAAAGCGUGGGGAGCGAACAGG